rnacentral:rRNA from 1 species
UACGUAGGGGGCAAGCGUUGUCCGGAUUUAUUGGGCGUAAAGAGCGUGUAGGCGGCCAUGUAGGUCCGUUGUGAAAACUCGAGGCUCAACCUCGAGACGCCGAUGGAAACCAUGUGGCUAGAGUCCGGAAGAGGAGAGUGGAAUUCCUGGUGUAGCGGUGAAAUGCGCAGAUAUCAGGAAGAACACCCGUGGCGAAGGCGGCUCUCUGGGACGGUACUGACGCUGAGACGCGAAAGCUAGGGGAGCAAACGGG